AAACGCGACCCCAGGUCAGGCGGGGCUACCCGCCGAGUUU
rnacentral:rRNA from 1 species